AGUGAACGCUGGCGGUAGGCCUAACACAUGCAAGUCGAACGGCAGCACAGUAAGAGCUUGCUCUUACGGGUGGCGAGUGGCGGACGAGUGAGGAAUACAUCGGAAUCUACUUUUUCGUGGGGGAUAACGUAGGGAAACUUACGCUAAUACCGCAUACGACCUACGGGUGAAAGCAGGGGAUCUUCGGACCUUGCGCGAUUGAAUGAGCCGAUGUCGGAUUAGCUAGUUGGCGGGGUAAAGGCCCACCAAGGCGACGAUCCGUAGCUGGUCUGAGAGGAUGAUCAGCCACACUGGAACUGAGACACGGUCCAGACUCCUACGGGAGGCAGCAGUGGGGAAUAUUGGACAAUGGGCGCAAGCCUGAUCCAGCCAUACCGCGUGGGUGAAGAAGGCCUUCGGGUUGUAAAGCCCUUUUGUUGGGAAAGAAAAGCAGCAGGUUAAUACCCCGCUGUUCUGACGGUACCCAAAGAAUAAGCGCCGGCUAACUUCGUG
rnacentral:rRNA from 1 species